UUAGAAGUGCCAGAUUAUAUAUGGGUUGGAUUAAGGAUUCAAUUAUAGGGUGUUAAUCCUCUUCUAAG
rnacentral:tRNA from 1 species